UUGAGUGACUUCAAAGUCUAUCAAUGACCCAACAUUCCACACUGUCUUCUUACACUGAAAAACAGGAGCAGGAGUCACUGGAUAGCUUCUACGAAUUGCCUGGGAUUGGAAUUCCUGUUCUUCCUCCUAGAUUUAUAAACAGAAGCUGUGGGUCUGUGGAAGCCAAAGUACACAGGACAGAUGCAAACAAGCCACCCAUUGAGGAGGAUUCCAGCAUGCUACUGGCUCACUGCCGAGUCCUUUCAGAAGAAGGAAGAGUAAGAAAAAUGUUUGUGAUGAUUUGGAAUUAAAGCGGCCUACUUUCAUACGGCUUUGGUUCACUCAUUCAUCUACAAAGUAUUGGCUGAGCCCCGUGAUGGUUAAUCUUGAACUGUCAAUCUGAUUGUCUUGAGGAAUGCCUAGAUACGUGAAGCACUCUUCUAGAGGAGGAAACACGCUGAACAAUCACAUGACUGAUGAUGACAGGUGGGAGAAGAAUUCCUAAGAGACUCCUUUGUGAUUGAAAGGAUGUGACGUGGCCUCUGGGCUCCUGACUGUUCUGUAAGUACGGCCCUUGAGAGAGGAGUUCGGGGUGUGAAGAAUCAUCAUUGCCCACUGAUGUUCCUGCAUUCGUUUGUGUGUGUUACUCUUCAGUGACAAGGUGGAACCGGAGUCUGGGUGGGCCUGUAUGACUGUAUUGCAAACCCGUUUCCAUCUGUUCGACCUUGCUACAUUCACCCAUGACAGCUUGGCUCCUUACCAACCAACUGUGGGGGAAUUUCCACGUGAAGUGACACAAGCUGUGAGAGGGAGGUGUAAGCUAGAACCCAGGGAUUUUUAUUCUCAGUAUUCUUUUCCAUCUUCAUGAGAAGAGGCCCCAGAAGACACCUGGGUGUGACUACUUCAAGAAUAACAGAUCACAGAAGCCCAUUUUAGACAAGACUAAGAAGCUUUUGUCACUGUUGAUACCUACAUCACCUCAUGAUUUUCUUAAAAUAAAAGCUUUAUCCAUGUGCA